GUCCCUGUAGCGCAACAGAUAGCGCGUUGGAAUUCUAAUUCAAAGGUCGUGGAUUCGAAUCCCACCUGGGAUU
rnacentral:tRNA from 1 species